rnacentral:rRNA from 1 species
GACGAACGCUGGCGGCGUGCUUAACACAUGCAAGUCGAACGGAAAGGCCCUGCUUGCAGGGUGCUCGAGUGGCGAACGGGUGAGUAACACGUGGGUGAUCUGCCCCUUACUUUGGGAUAAGCCUGGGAAACUGGGUCUAAUACUGGAUAGGACCAUGCUGUAGGUGGUGUGGUGGAAAGAUUAGUUUCGGUAAGGGAUGAGCUCGCGGCCUAUCAGCUUGUUGGUGGGGUAAUGGCCUACCAAGGCGUCGACGGGUAGCCGGCCAGAGAGGGUGGACGGCCACAUUGGGGCUGAGAUGCGGCCCAGGCUCCUACGGGAGGCAGCAGUGGGGAAUAUUGCACAAUGGGCGCCAGCCUGAUGCAGCGGCGCCGCGUGGGGGAUGACGGCCUUCGGGUUGAAGACUCCUUUCAGCCAUGACGAAGCCUUCGGGUGACGGUAGUGGUAGAAGAAGCACCGGCUAACUACGU